GCUGUAAUCGUAUAGUGGUUAGUACUUCACGCUGUGGCCGUGACAACCCAGGUUCGAAUCCUGGUCACAGCA
rfam:Ciona savignyi cont_33728, whole genome shotgun sequence.